rnacentral:rRNA from 1 species
UACGGGGGGAGCAAGCGUUGUUCGGAAUUACUGGGCGUAAAGCGCACGUAGGCGGAUUGUUAAGUCGGGGGUGAAAUCCUGGAGCUCAACUCCAGAACUGCCUUCGAUACUGGCGAUCUCGAGUUCGGGAGAGGUGAGUGGAACUGCGAGUGUAGAGGUGAAAUUCGUAGAUAUUCGCAAGAACACCAGUGGCGAAGGCGGCUCACUGGCCCGGUACUGACGCUGAGGUGCGAAAGCGUGGGGAGCGAACAGG